rnacentral:rRNA from 1 species
UACAGAGGGUGCGAGCGUUGUCCGGAAUCAUUGGGCGUAAAGCGCACGUAGGCGGCUUGCCAAGUCGGACGUGAAAUCCCUCAGCUCAACUGAGGACGUGCAUCCGAAACUGGCGAGCUUGAGUGCUGAAGAGGAUCGCGGAAUUCCCGGUGUAGAGGUGAAAUUCGUAGAUAUCGGGAGGAACACCAGUGGCGAAGGCGGCUCACUGGCCCGGUACUGACGCUGAGAUACGAAAGCGUGGGGAGCAAACAGG